ACCAGGCAUGGUGGCCCAUGCCUGUAAUCCCUGCUACUCAGGAGGCUGAGGCAGGAGGAUCUUGAUUUCAAGGCCAGCCUGGGCAACUUAGCAAGGCCUUGUCUCAA
rnacentral:sRNA from 1 species